CCUACGGGUGGCAGCAGUCGAGAAUCAUUCACAAUGGGGGAAACCCUGAUGGUGCGACGCCGCGUGGGGGAAUGAAGGUCUUCGGAUUGUAAACCCCUGUCAUGUGGGAGCAAAUUAAAAAGAUAGUACCACAAGAGGAAGAGACGGCUAACUCUGUGCGAGCAGCCGCGGUAAUACAGAGGUCUCAAGCGUUGUUCGGAUUCCCUGGGCGUAAAGCGUGCGUAGGCUGUUUCGUAAGUCGUGUGUGAAAGGCGGAGGCUCAACCCGCGGACGGCACAUGAUACUGCGAGACUAGAGUAAUGGAGGGGGAACCGGAAUUCACGGUGUAGCAGUGAAAUGCGUAGAUAUCGAGAGGAACACUCGUGGCGAAGGCGGGUUCCUGGACAUUAACUGACGCUGAGGCACGAAGGCCAGGGGAGCGAAAGGGAUUAGAUACCCUUGUAGUC
rnacentral:rRNA from 1 species